UACGAAGGGUGCAAGCGUUACUCGGAAUUACUGGGCGUAAAGCGUGCGUAGGCGGUUUGUUAAGUCUGUCGUGAAAGCCCCGGGCUCAACCUGGGAAUGGCGAUGGAUACUGGCGAGCUAGAGUACGGUAGAGGAGAGUGGAAUUCCCGGUGUAGCAGUGAAAUGCGUAGAGAUCGGGAGGAACAUCAGUUGCGAAGGCGGCUCUCUGGACCAGUACUGACGCUGAGGCACGAAAGCGUGGGGAGCGAACGGGG
rnacentral:rRNA from 1 species